ACGGGGGGUGCAAGCGUUGUUCGGAAUUAUUGGGCGUAAAGAGCGUGUAGGCGGCUGAAUAAGUCAGAUGUGAAAUCCCUGGGCUUAACCCAGGAAGUGCAUUUGAAACUAUUCAGCUUGAGUAGGGGAGAGGAAAGUGGAAUUCCUGGUGUAGAGGUGAAAUUCGUAAAUAUCAGGAGGAACACCGGUGGCGAAGGCGACUUUCUGGCACUAUACUCACGCUGAGCCGCGAGAGCGUGGGUAGCAAACAG
rnacentral:rRNA from 1 species